rnacentral:rRNA from 1 species
UGGUGGAGUGAUUUGUCUGGUUAAUUCCGUUAACGAACGAGACCUUAACCUGCUAGAUAGUUAUCGGAAACUCCGGUUUCUUGUUAACUUCUUAGAGGGACUUUGCGUGUUUAACGCAAGGAAGUUUGAGGCAAUAACA